UUGCUAUAAGAAUACUUAGCCAACCUUGUAGUUCCCACUGGUGCAGAUGGAAUUGGAGCACCUUUGAGAGCAUUCACUCCAAGAAACGCAACAAAAUGGAGCUUGAAAAGUUAAAUGAUUUGGUUUUUGUGCACUGUAAUCUUUGGUUAGAAUCAAUCAGCCAAAGUAGGAAUGGAAAGUGUAAACCUAUUAUUCAUGAUGAAAUAGAUGUUAAUUCUGAAUG
rnacentral:misc_RNA from 1 species